rnacentral:tRNA from 1 species
UCCCUGGAGGUCCAGUGGUUAGGACUUGGUGCUCUCAAUGUUGAGACCCAAGUUCAAACCUUGGCUGGGGAA